rnacentral:rRNA from 1 species
GAUGAACGCUGGCGGCGUGCCUAAUACAUGCAAGUCGAGCGAACAGACGAGGAGCUUGCUCCUCUGACGUUAGCGGCGGACGGGUGAGUAACACGUGGAUAACCUACCUAUAAGACUGGGAUAACUUCGGGAAACCGGAGCUAAUACCGGAUAAUAUAUUGAACCGCAUGGUUCAAUAGUGAAAGACGGUUUUGCUGUCACUUAUAGAUGGAUCCGCGCCGCAUUAGCUAGUUGGUAAGGUAACGGCUUACCAAGGCGACGAUGCGUAGCCGACCUGAGAGGGGGAUCGGCAACACGGAAACGGGGACAGGGUCAAGAUCCCAAGGGGAGGAAGCAGAAGGGAACUUGCGCAAUGGGCGAAAGCCUGACGGAGCAACGCCGCGUGAGUGAUGAAGGUCUUCGGAUCGUAAAACUCUGUUAUUAGGGAAGAACAAAUGUGUAAGUAACUAUGCACGUCUUGACGGUACCUAAUCAGAAAGCCACGGCUAACUACGUG